CAAAAGUUCCCUACAUUUUCAUAGAUUUUUGCGAUUUCUCAGUUAUGUUUUCAUGCAUGUAGCUUUGAAAAAAUCACGGGAGAAAUUAUCAUAUGUUGUAAAGGAAAAGUUCGAUUUGCGUUUGAUUGUUUUUUCCACGUUAAUGUUAGGCGAAGUAUUAGGAUUUCCGUAUGAUCUCGUGCGAUUGCCUAAAUGUGUUUGCCCGGUGUUACCCCAUAUUUCGCCACCGAUUGUUAUACCUUCCUGUAAUUUUGUUCUAACAUAAUCACUCUUGCAUUUUAGGUGCAGCGGUUGCUUAUUCUGAAAACGAGAAUUGUCAAAAGUCUCAGUUCGCGCAUGGAUGCAUAACAUGGAAUGAUGUUGUAGUGAAUGCUAUUUUUCUUAGGCUCGCUCACUAUUGUGCUCGUCGGUCACGAUCCAUGGAUACGGUACGGUUGAUUGAUGCAAACGACUCCGACCAGUUGGGCAUUCCACGCUGAACGACGCAUAAGAGCUCUUCUUGCACCUGCUGAUCUUCCGGGUAUAGUCGAACUCCGACGUAUUGCACCCGCUGGACCCACGGGACGAUUCAUUUAAUGACCGGACCCAGAGUCGGGGGCGAGCCAAUCGGAAUCAAUUUCCGUGGUUGCAGCGAGUUUGGUUCGACCCGCCAGGCCACAAAACGUUUAGCUGGGUCCGGGCCAUGAGCCUACUUUGGCCCAACCUGACCCGAACUCGCUGCUGCAACGGGUCUGCUUAUGCUUUCUUGCAUCUACUGAACAUACUUACAUCUUACGGUUCGACCCGGACGACUCAGGGUCGUUUACGGAUGACUCCGACUCGGUAGGCUCUCGCCGUCAACUAAACGAGCGCUGAAGCUCUGGCAAGCAGCUAUUUUGUCUUCGUCGCAUUGAUUCUCGGUCCAAUUCUUGAUGCUUCGCGCUUGAGUCAGGUGAUUGCACUGCACUCCGUUGAUGGUGGCUGGUAAGUGGUUGCGCUGCAUGAUGUUCCAUAGCUCAUUCCGGUCCAUGGUGUCGUAGGUCGCCUUGAAGUCGGUGAACAGGUGGUGCAUUAUUCAUCCGUAUGCCUUUAUUGAUCAAACAAUUUUAACAAAAUAAUGUGUCCUGGAUGAACCUCCCGAUAAGGAUUACACAUUAUGGAAUUCACUCAACAGGUGUAACCGUCCGAAUGCACCUAUUGUGUAGCUAAACACUAAUGUCCGGCACUUUUCCGACGCUACAACUGAUUUGCAGUCGUGGCUGCCUCAGGAGCGUCCGAAACCGCUCACGGUUUUCUUGCAACCUUAAUUUGGGCCUUCCACGCCUCUUCUGUUCUUGUCCCCCUAACAAGAUUUUACGGGUUGGGUUGUCUGCUUCCAUGCGUACAACAUGGCCAGCCCAUCGGAGCCUGGCGAGCUUGAUACGCUGCACGACAGUGAGGUCGCCGUACAUCUCGUAUAGCUCGUCAUUAUAGCGUCAAUUUCCUUCCACACAUACGGGGCCAAGUAUCCUUCUGAGCAUCUUCCUCUCGAUCGCGGCUAAGAGAGGUCUUCGUCAUAUUUGAACAGUGGCCAUGUCGCAGAGACGUAUACGAAUCAUAGAGCAUGUCGACGUGACAUGCCCAGGUCAACAAUCAUUCUCCGACAUGCUCAGUCCCUGGCUGCAGCCUCCCAUCCAUGUAGAUACCCGAUUUUCGACAGGUCUCGCUUCACCUGGUCCACCCCUGUGCUCCCAUGCGCCUAAUGCCGAACUGUGGGUCGCUGUCGAAUACCUUCUUGGUGAGGCAUGAGUCCGGCAUCCUCAUGACAUGCCUCAGCCAUCGUAUCUUGCCAGCCUUCGGUUGGCCGUACAGCUCAGCAAGCUUGUGGUUCAUCCUUCUCCUUCAAACUCCAUGCUCGAACACACCGCCAAAGAUGGUCCGGAGGAUGCGUCGCUCAAACACGCCCAGAGCGUUUGCUUCCUCCGCUCGGAUGGUCCAGGGUUCGUGUCCGUAUCAAUGUACUAUAUAUCGCACAUAUUGUUGCGAAACGAUAAAAUAAAGGUGAAAAAUGUAGAUAUUUCGGUGUUGAAAAAUCACAAAUUUAGUUUUUAUUCCUUCUUCUUAAUAUAUGGCGCAAACAAGAGGU